CGCUCGUUCGUCCAGUGGAAGGACGCUCGGCCCUCAACCGGGAAACGCGGGUUCGAUCCCCGCACGGGCGA
rnacentral:tRNA from 1 species